UAGGGAUUCUUCGGUAAUGGGGGGAACCCUGACCGAGCAACGCCGCGUGAGUGAAGAAGGUUUUCGGAUCGUAAACCCCUGUUGUUAAGGAAGAACGAGUGUGAGAAUGGAAAGUUCAUGCUGCGACGGUACUUAACCAGAAAGGGACGGCGAACUACGUGCCAGCAGCCGCGGUAAUACGUUGGCCCCGAGCGUUGUCCGGUUUUAUUGGGCGUAAAGCGAGCGCAGGCGGUUAGAAAAGUCUGAAGUGAAAGGCAGUGGCUCCACCAUUGUAGGCUUUGGAAGCUGUUUAACUUGGGUGCAGAAGGGGGGGGUGGAAUUCCUUGUGUGGGGGUGGAGUGGGUAGAUAUAUAGAGGAACACCGGUGGGGGAAGCGGCUCUCUGGUCUGUAACUAACGCUGAGGCUCGAAAGCGUGGGGGGCGGACAGG
rnacentral:rRNA from 1 species